GACGAACGCUGGCGGCGUGCCUAAUACAUGCAAGUCGAACGCUUCUUUCCUCCCUUUUGCUUGCACUCAAUUGUAGAGAGGAGUGGCGGACGGGUGAGUAACACGUCGGUAACCUACCCCUCAGAGGGGGAUAACACUUGUGAACAGUUGCUAAUACCGCAUACCACUUUAUGCCGCAUGGCAUAAGAGUGUAGGGCGCUUUCGGGUGUCGCUGAUGGAUGGACCCGCGGUGCAUUAGCUAGUUGGUGAGGUAACGGCUCACCAAGGCGACGAUGCAUGGCCGACCUGAGAGGGUGAUCGGCCACACUGGGACUGAGAGACGGCCCAGACUCCUACGGGAGGCAGCAGUAGGGAAUCUUCGGCAAUGGGCGAAAGUCUGACAGAGCAACGCGGCGUGAGUGAAGAAGGUGUUCGGAUCGUAAAACUCUGUUGUUAGAGAAGAACAAGGACGGCAGUAACUGAUCGGGUCCUGACGGUAUCUAACCAGAAAGCCACGGCUAACUACGUG
rnacentral:rRNA from 1 species